rnacentral:rRNA from 1 species
UUGAACGCUGGCGGCAUGCCUUACACAUGCAAGUCGAACGGCAGCGCGGGAGCAAUCCUGGCGGUGAGUGGCGAACGGGUGAGUAAUACAUCGGAACGUGCCCAAUCGUGGGGGAUAACGCAGCGAAAGCUGUGCUAAUACCGCAUACGAUCUACGGAUGAAAGCAGGGGAUCGCAAGACCUUGCGCGAAUGGAGCGGCCGAUGGCAGAUUAGGUAGUUGGUGAGGUAAAGGCUCACCAAGCCUUCGAUCUGUAGCUGGUCUGAGAGGACGACCAGCCACACUGGGACUGAGACACGGCCCAGACUCCUACGGGAGGCAGCAGUGGGGAAUUUUGGACAAUGGGCGAAAGCCUGAUCCAGCCAUGCCGCGUGCAGGAUGAAGGCCUUCGGGUUGUAAACUGCUUUUGUACGGAACGAAACGGUCUUUUCUAAUAAAGAAGGCUAAUGACGGUACCGUAAGAAUAAGCACCGGCUAACUACGUG